rnacentral:tRNA from 1 species
UCCCCGGUUGCUCUGCUGGCAUGGGCGCCCAGACUUUGAAUCUGGUUGUCGUUGGUUCGAUUCCAACCCGGGGAGCCA